CACAUACUCCCUCUGUCUGAAAUUACUUGUCUGAGAAAUGGAUGUAUCUAGACGUAUUUUGAUUCCAGAUACAUUCAUUUUUAUCCAUUUCGGUAACAAGUAAUUCCGGACAGAGGGAGUAUAUC
rfam:Triticum aestivum genome assembly, contig: Triticum_aestivum_CS42_TGACv1_scaffold_034377_1BL